UGUUUUCAUGGUCGCUACUUGCUACUGAAUUCAUCAGUUUGUUUAAAUUUCUCUAAUAGAUUCUUCCAAUCUUUAAAGGAGAUUUGCUCCCCUGAAUGAAGUUAGACUGAGGGUUGAGGAGAGCUGUUGACAGAAGAGAGAGAGCACAGCCCGCCAUUAUUGAGAAUGUCGUCACUUUUUGCGGGAUUGUGCUCUCUCUUCUUCUGCCAAACACAGCGCCAACUUUUCUCAACGUGGCAAUCCCAGAUUCCAGAUCACCCUGCGCCUGCGGUUUGCUCUGAAUUCCUCAUCUUUGGGCAUGUCUUUUUCUAUCUUUGUAUUGAGUCCUGACUCGAAGCAAGAUCAAAUUUACGCAUUACUGUAGGUCUUCUAGAGAAGUCACAGAAACUAUAAAGGUUCUGCAAAUGUUUCACAGCUAUAAAAGAAGUGAAUGACUUGGAGGAUCUAAUAGUUUUUCUUGUGGAUAAUGAUAUGGUUGAAAAGUUGAUGCUAUAUCUUUUGUAUUUGAAUGAUAAAUUAAUCAAUAUGAAACAGAAAUUUAGCAUGAGUGUAAACAGAAAUGAGCAUUAUUUCCCCCCUCUCACUAAAACUGAGAAUAAAGUUCAGUAAAUGUGUCCAUAAGAACCUUUUCAGGCAACUAACUCAGUUGGAUCAGUGACAUUACAACGGCAUGGAUUUGCAAAACGUUGCAUAAUCUGAUAAUGCUUUGGUGGUGGAACCGGCAACUCUGGACUCCAACAAGUAACCAGCUGUCAAUGGAGUAUUAAACAUAGAGAUGCUGCCAAACAAAGUAAAAAAAAAAGAAAGGGCUUCUGCUGGGAUAACAAAAGUGUUGUCAGAAAAGCGGUCUCUCAAAAGAAGUUUCAUACCAACCAUGUUCGAGUUACCCAAGAUGAACAAGAAGGAAAGCUUCUGCAGAAAAAGAGUGAGUUGGUUUGAAAAAGAAUGCAGCAGAAGUUGUCGAUUGAUACCGUGCUACCAAGUACCAAGUAGUGGAGUACCUCAAAUCUUUGUGCGUGUAUUCUUUAAUUAUGACUAAAUUCAAGUGGAUUCCAGCUUAUUCCUUGUGAAUGGAUGAACUAAGAUUUAAUUCUUAUGGUCUAAAUUUUUUCCUAUUCAAACAUUCUUUUGAAUGGGCGAUA